GCAUGUUCGCACUUACAGUGGGAGCUAAACAUUGAGUAUAUAUGGACACAAAGAAGGGAACAGCAGACAUCAGGGCCUACUUGAGUGUAGAGAGGGAGAGG